rnacentral:rRNA from 1 species
UUGUACACACCGCCCGUCACACCAUGGGAGUGGGUUGCAAAUGAAGUAGGUAGCUUAACCUUCGGGGGGGCGCUUACCACUUUGUGAUUCCUGACUGGGGUGAAGUCGUAACAAGGUAACCGUAGGGGAAC